UACGGAGGGUGCAAGCGUUAAUCGGAAUUACUGGGCGUAAAGCGUGCGUAGGCGGUUCGUUAAGUCUGCUGUGAAAGCCCCGGGCUCAACCUGGGAAUGGCAGUGGAUACUGGCGAGCUAGAGUGUGAUAGAGGAUGGUGGAAUUCCCGGUGUAGCGGUGAAAUGCGUAGAGAUCGGGAGGAACAUCAGUGGCGAAGGCGGCCCUCUGGGACAACACUGACGCUGAGGCACGAAAGCGUGGGGAGCAAACAGG
rnacentral:rRNA from 1 species